rnacentral:tRNA from 1 species
GCCCGGGUGGUGAAAUUGGUAGACACAAGGGACUUAAAAUCCCUCGAAGGUAUACUUCGUGCCGGUUCGAGUCCGGCCCCGGGUA